CGACAUGUUUAUGCAAGCUCUUUUAUAGACUAGCACAUCCAAAGACAAUCAUAACCCAUCUACCUAACAUAAGAGCAACAACACAAAUCAAAGUCCCUACGUGAUUAAUGCCAAACAAAUGCUCUAACGUAGUGCACAAUGGACAUUUGAUACAUCAAUGAAUGUAAAGUAGAAAUACAUGCUGAAUAAACUACUGCACAAGAUCGAACAUCAGUAGGAAUAAAAGCAAGAUUUUAUUUUUUAAUUUUUUGCAAGCAAAGAGCUAUGCAUUCUUACACCAUAUCUCUUUUCUGUAAAACUUACUUAUUUCCUCGCUAUUCGAUUCAAUUAUGUCACUGCCAAGCCACUGUUAAGCACUUGUAGUUAUACAUAUGACGAACAAAAACCAGAUCACAAAUUUAAUAUCUUCCACAUGCCAACAAUAACUUCUUAUAACAGUAAGAUCAAUCUACACGAAUAGGACAUAAGCUAAACAAUUUAUGAACCAAAAACUACUCCCUUGACUUUGUGAAAUAUGUUUUCAAAAUGCAGAAAAUGGAAAUUAUCAACCCAGAUAUCACAAUCCUGAAACUCCAUCCUAUAAGCUUCUUAAAACUGGAAUUACCUUAGCUUCCUUUGCAAUAUAAUACCAAUUAUCGCAGUAGCAGUGUUAUGUAUUGAUGCUAAAACGUCUAGUAAAGGCAACGAAAGCAAAUUCCACUUAGAAAAUACUAAAGUUUAAAUAGAGAUAAAGACAAAGCAACGAAUGCCCACAAUCAGAUAUACCACAAAUUUGACAUUAGUAUAAUGGACCAUUAAUUAACUGUAGUCUUCUAACAAUGAAAUGAAAUCACCCAGAAAGAAGAGUUAAAAACAUGACAACUAGUCUCCAAACUAGAACUGAUUCGCAUAAUAAACUUGACGAACUCAUAUGAAAUUAGCAAACAACGAAGAGGAUAGGCCAGCAGCAUAUUUCAAUCGCAACCACGAAAGUAACAUAUCAAAUAACAGAGAAGAGGAGGACAAAUGAACCUGAACUGCUUUCGAUAUUUUUGAAUCUUCGACAAUUACAAUCUAACGAGAAUUCCGAUAAUUGAACUCAAUAGGAAGAUGAAACAAACAGCAGCAACAGAUUCGAACAGAGGCCGCGAGCCAAAUUGGAACCUCAAACCAGAAACCUCGACUGAAAUCGCACGGAACCGAAAAACUUCAGCAACCAGGCAGCAAAUUUUGACCUCAAAAACCCCUUUGGAAAUCCAGAUUUUUUAAAAACCUUUUCCUGGUUUUCAGAUCUUUCGGAGUUGUGCGGUUUUCUUUGUAACUUUGAAUUCCCAAAUCUGAUUUUUCGGAAGAAUCCUUACUUUUUUUGUGUGUGUGUAGUGAGUCUGAAGCAGGUGUCGUUACAAAGAAAUGAAGAAGCAGGCGUCAGAAGCAGAACGUUGGUGUUGAAGAAGAACAAAUAUGCUCUUAGGUUAUCAAAAUGAAGAAGAACGGCGUGGGUGGUGGUCUCAUUUUUG
rnacentral:lncRNA from 1 species